AGCGAACGCUGGCGGCAGGCUUAACACAUGCAAGUCGAACGCCCGGGCAACCGGGAGUGGCAGACGGGUGAGUAACACGUGGGAACAUGCCCUUCGGUUCGGAAUAACUCGGGGAAACUCGUGCUAAUACCGGAUACGUCCGUAAGGAGAAAGAUUUAUCGCCGAAGGAUUGGCCCGCGUCCGAUUAGCUAGUUGGUGGGGUAAAAGCCCACCAAGGCGACGAUCGGUAGCUGGUCUGAGAGGAUGANCCAGCCACACUGGGACUGAGACACGGCCCAGACUCCUACGGGAGGCAGCAGUGGGGAAUAUUGCGCAAUGGGCGGAAGCCUGAUCCAGCAAUGCCGCGUGUGUGAAGAAGGUCUUCGGAUUGUAAAGCACUUUCGACGGGACGAUGAUGAC
rnacentral:rRNA from 1 species